rnacentral:lncRNA from 1 species
CCUCACUGCCACACCCCACCACAGCAAUCACCUGUCCUCCACCUGCUUUCUCUCUGGUGGUUCCUGCAGAGGCUGGCCUUUCCUCUAGUUCCUCCUGCCUGGUGCAGCUGUGCAGGUCAGGGUGCAAACCUGGAUGGAAAACAUCAGCAAAAGCUGGGAGGGCUGUUUGUGCUUCUGUGCCUUGUCCAGACUCUCCUCUGUGAUCGAUCACCCACCGGGCUUUCACUGAAAGAGGCAUGGUGGCUGGUGCAAAGAAGGAGGGGAUAGGUUCUGAGCUCAAGAAUCUUACAAUAGAACUGGGGAGGAAGCAGCAGACACAUGAGAGAUAGAAAAACUGGGUAUAAUGGUGGAGAGAAUUGGAAGCAACCUCAUUCUUGCUGAAAGAGCUGAGAGGCAAUGGAAGCUUCCAGCCCAGCCUUCUACGUCUCCAGCUACCCUUCCAGGUAUCAUCUCCUUGAACUUGGAAAAUUCCAGCAGCAGCUGGAAGCCAGGCAUUGGCUGCGAGAACAACAUUGGCUGGAUUUCAAGUUGCAUUCAGACCUUCACAGAGGGAAAUAUGUUGUGCUCUGGCUCCUUCUAAUCAAGACCACGUGCUCUAGGCCCCAUGGAGACAUAACUGGUGGAGUACUUUCUCUGAUAGUUCAUCUUGGGGAUUCAAAAGCAAAUACAAACUCAAGGUGGUAUGGAAUGGAUGCUGGCUGCCUGGGCUUAAAAGCAAUGCCCCUGGGUUCCCAAGGGGAUCACUUAUCCUCUGAAGGGGAAAAGCUGCCUCUCUGAGGGGAGAAGCUGCAAAGGGCACAGGAUUCUGACAUUUCUCUCUCCUCCCCUGAGAAAUACAGGAGCUUCUUGUAUGAAGAGCAAGAGGAAACUAGCCUGGGAUCCACUUCAAAAAGCCUCCAGGGGACACUGAAUGACAAGCUGGGCAUUUCUGCCAACAACUGCUGGCCAGAGGAGGCCCAGGAAAGGGCAGGUGUUCAUUGUAGACAGCUCUGGUGUGGUAGGAAUCUAGGGACCUGGGCUGUAACCCCGAUGGAGCCAUACAUUCCUUGUGUGAUCUGGGAGCAGGCUCCUCUUCACCCUGCUUCUUUCUCCCACCUACCCUGGGCCCUAGGAUUCAAAAUGAGGGAACCACCUCCUCUUUUAAUGGCUUUGGCUGUUCUGAAAUUCUGGGAUUCAAGGUUCAGCUCUUUAGAUGGUGGUCAAUACUUGAGGGAAAGCACCUCUGAGAGAGUUUGUGUGUGUGCAUGCUCAUUUGUGUCCAACUCUUUGCGACCUCAUGGACUCUAGCCCGCCAGGCUCCUCUGUCCAUGGGAUUCUCCAGGCAGGAGUACUGGAGUGGGUUGCAGUGCCCUCCUCUAGAGGAUCUUCCUGACCUAGGGAUCAAAUCCGCAUCUCUUGUGUCUCCUGCACUGUAGUUGGAUUCUUUACCACUGUGCUGCCUGGGAAGCCCAGAGAGUUCUUACCUCCUUCGAAUUAUACCUUAUUUGCAAAGUCAAUGUCCAGAGAUGUAGGCCCAUCCCCAGUUGGAUUUGCAUGAAGAGAAGCACCAAAUCACACAGCCCUCUUGCUUCCAUCAGGCAGCACUAUAUUUAUGUUCUCUGUAAGGGCUUUGGAAAGACCUAUAGGAAUGGAGAGGCUUCCCAGGUGGCGCUAGUGGUAAAGAACCUGCCUGCCAAGGCAGGAGAUACAAGAAAUGUGGAUUCAAUCCCUGGGGUCAGGAAGAUCCCCGGGAGAAGGAAAUGGCAACCCACUCAAGUAUUCUUGCCUGGAGAAUCCCAUAGAUUGGGGAGCCUGGUGGGGUACAUUCCAUAGGGUUGCACAGAGUCAAAUAUGACUUAGUGACUUAGCACACAUGCAUGAAUAUAGGAAUGGAGAGCCUAUGGUCCUGUGCUCAUCUAUUUCCGUUAAUUCGACCCCUUUGUCAUCAUUUAGUUUCUCUGUUAGCUGAAGUUUUUCAUGCUAUGAUUUGCAGGAGACAUGGGGUCUAAUCCUAGCUCACCUCUUACCUAAACUUUCGACCUUGGCAGUAGCCAUUUAAUCCCUGUUUGCACUAGGUUAUGAACCACGCAAGAAAAAUGGUCUUAAUGGUUUCACAGUUAUACUUGGAAGGAAGGGCAGGAGAGAGGGAGAAAGGGCAGGUAGAAUGAAGUAGGGUGGGGAAAGGAAUGGAGAAGAGAGGGAGUGGGUUGUUUUUUAGUUAAAAACUAUCACUGAGCUUGAUCACCACCAUAUUCUCUAGACUUGACUCUGAGUGACUUUUAGCUGUUUUCUAAAAUAAAAUCCACCCUCAAAGGACA